rnacentral:rRNA from 1 species
GUAGGUGGCAAGCGUUGUCCGGGAAUUAUUGGGGCGUAAAGCGCGCGCAGGCGGUUCUUUAGGUCUGAUGUGAAAGCCCACGGGCUCAACCGUGGAGGGUCAUUGGAAACUGGAGAACUUGAGUACAGAAGAGGAAAGCGGAAUUCCACGUGUAGCGGUGAAAUGCGUAGAGAUGUGGAGGAACACCAGUGGCGAAGGCGGCUUUCUGGUCUGUAACUGACGCUGAGGCGCGAAAGCGUGGGGAGCAAACAGGAUUAGAUACCCUGGUAGUCCACGCCGUAAACGAUGAGUGCUAAGUGUUAGGGGGUUUCCGCCCCUUAGUGCUGCAGCUAACGCAUUAAGCACUCCGCCUGGGGAGUACGGCCGCAAAGGCUGA